UCGCCACACACUUAGCGGUGGGCGCACAUACAUUCGCAAAUUCGCAAGGAUUAUGACAUAGACCCAUGUAACAUGCUUCGUUCUCAAUGCAAUCAUUGUUCGACUGACAUGGUUCCGGAUUCUUUGGUGAGCCGGGUGAUUCUACUUGUUAGAGGAGUUAGAGAGUAUUAAUGCGUGUAUUGUUAUGCGUUUGGGCGCGUGUAAAGCUUCACGCCUUCAAAGAUGCUCCAAAAUGCGUCCAAAAAUCGUAAUUUGGUGUAAAUACAUACACAUAUGCAUAUACAUAUGUAGUAUUUAGUACCAACUGUGUUCAAAUUCAAAUUGAUGACCUCGAAAGCGUCCGCUCCCGCCUAAUGAGGCGCCAUUUAACCACUGUCUCUGCUUGAAGAGCGAAGAGCAUAAUACAAUAUGAGUACAAGCAAUAUCCAAAAAUGGCCGUUGGUUCGCUAUUAAGUCCACGUAGAAGCGGAGGAUCCAGUUCAGGUAUAUAGUGGUCCCCGCUAAACGUCUUUUUUGAGAGGAGCUCCUGGAGAUCAGCGGUAGCUUUGUUGCAAAUAAAUAUUUU